GACGAACGCUGGCGGCGUGCCUAAUACAUGCAGGUCGAGCGCUGAAGCUUGGUACUGGUACCGACUGGAUGAGCAGCGGACGGGUGAGUAACGCGUGGGGAAUCUGCCUUUGAGCGGGGGACAACAGUUGGAAACGAAUGCUAAGGCCACAUAAAACCUUUAAACACAAGGGGUAGGAUUGAAAGAUGCGAUGGCGUCACUCAAAGAGGAUCUCGCGUUGUAUUAGCGAGUUGGUGAGAUAAAGGCUCACCAAGGCGAUGAGACAUAGCCGAACUGAGAGGGUGAUAGGCCACAUUGGGAGUGAGACACGGACCAAACGCCUACGGGAGGGAGCAGUAGGGAACCUUAGGCAAGAGACGAGAGUAUGACCGAGUAACGCCGCGUGAGAGACGAAGGUUCUCGGGUCGUAAAAAUCGGUUGGUAGAGAAGAACGUUGGUGAGAGUGGACAGCUCAUCAAGUGACGGUAACUACUAAGAAAGGGACGGCUAACUACGUG
rnacentral:rRNA from 1 species